rnacentral:rRNA from 1 species
CACGUAGGGCGCGAGCGUUGUCCGGAAUUAUUGGGCGUAAAGAGCUCGUAGGCGGUCUGUCGCGUCGGGAGUGAAAGCCCGCUGCUUAACGGCGGGUUGGCUUCCGGUACGGGCAUCGCUGGAGUGCGGCAGGGGAGACUGGAAUUCCUGGUGUAGCGGUGGAAUGCGCAGAUAUCAGGAGGAACACCGGUGGCGAAGGCGGGUCUCUGGGCCGUUACUGACGCUGAGGAGCGAAAGCGUGGGGAGCGAACAGG